rnacentral:rRNA from 1 species
GACGAAGGAUGCAAGCGUUAUCCGGAUUCAUUGGGUUUAAAGGGUGCGUAGGUGGGCUGGUAAGUCAGUGGUGAAAUCUCCAGGCUUAACUUGGAAACUGCCAUUGAUACUAUCAGUCUUGAAUACCGUGGAGGUCAGCGGAAUAUGUCAUGUAGCGGUGAAAUGCUUAGAUAUGACAUAGAACACCAAUUGCGAAGGCAGCUGGCUACACGAAUAUUGACACUGAUGCACGAAAGCGUGGGGAUCAAACAGG